GCGCUUGCCGGUGCCAUCGACGAGACAUCCCUCCGGCCCUCGACUUGUUUUUUUUGAGCUUGGGCGGGAGAUUUGAGGCUUCGGUUCCAUCGCUACAUCGUGAAGCUUCUCUUCAUCGGAGAUCUCCAGAAUCGCAACGCACUACUCCAGUGGUGAGGUUUGAGCCUGCGUAGGCUGUGUGUCGGUGGAUAAUUUGUUACUCGUUGUUCCUACAGCUUUAAGCAAAAGACUCGUAAGAGAUGGCUUGUAUCCCGAUUCCCCUCUGUAUCGAGUGCGGGAAUACUGACAAUCCAUGUCGAUGCAAAAUUAUUGGACCUACGUUGGGGUUCGUUGGCUUCGUCGUGGCAGCUGUGAUUGAAUGGCCAAUCGGAGCGGCAGUCUGGUGCUGCAACCACAAGAAGGGAGAGCGGAUAAUGUCUCACCCGGCUAUGGUUGUCAGGCCAAGCAUUUCCAAUUGCAUACCGUUCUAGCGCAUAAUUUUGGAACAAGGUAAUUCUGUCAAAAUGUAAGGCUAUUCAGUCUGUGGGCAGGGCUGCUAUGACUUCUGUUGUACACAGCAUCAAUGGCACCGGUGACAAUGAGGUUCGAGUUUGAAGCAUAUUUUAUGAUACCUUGCGAAAGAUGUGUUCACAAGGGUGCAAUGCUAAGCGUUGUUCGAGCAUCCUUAUAUCAUGGGGAUUUGUGAGAACUGAACGAGUAAAAAUCAUGGUACAAAGUAUACCCAACGUAGUACGUGUAGGGGUAACUUGUUGGUUUCAGUUGUGGAGCAAUGUGUGAAACAAUCGGAUCUGGUAGGGAUCUGGUAGCUCAGCUAUAAAUUUUGGUGUAAUUUGAGGACAUGUUACAUGUAAUGUGUAGUUCUAUCUGGGGAAUAGGUGCGUGAUGGAAUAAUUAAGCCCAACAUGGUUGUGUAAGUGUAAUUGACGAUUAAUGCAUUGCCAGUGCUCGAUUUCUCAUUUCCAACA